GGACCCGACACAAACAUCCUUCCUGAAGAUGGCCGACGGCGGCGGGCAGCCACGGAUUGCCCAGACCAGCCGGCUGACUGAGGCCAUCAAGAACUU